AUUGAACGCUGGCGGCAGGCCUAACACAUGCAAGUCGAACGAGUGGCGGACGGGUGAGUAAUGUCUGGGAAACUGCCUGAUGGAGGGGGAUAACUACUGGAAACGGUAGCUAAUACCGCAUACCAUCGGAUGUGCCCAGAUGGGAUUAGCUAGUAGGUGGGGUAACGGCUCACCUAGGCGACGAUCCCUAGCUGGUCUGAGAGGAUGACCAGCCACACUGGAAGUGAGAAACGGGCCAGACGCCUACGGGAGGCAGCAGUGGGGAAUAUUGGACAAAGGGCGGAAGACUGAUGGAGCCAGGCCGCGUGUAUGAAGAAGGACUUCGGGUUGUAAAGUACUGUCAGCGGGGAGGCGUUACCCGCAGAAGAAGCACCGGCUAACUCCGUGCCAGCAGCCGCGGUAAUUC
rnacentral:rRNA from 1 species